AAUGCACAACACUUGCAGACUCUCCCUCCACACAGAGAAGCAAAGAAACCACACCACAGUCGUAGGGGAAGGGAGAGGAGGGAGGGUGGCUUCUGCUGGGUUGCCAUGUGCUAUGAGGUAGAGAACGGGAUGCAGCCAAGGAUGACUUGCCGGCUCCUGGAACCUGGAGGCGUCUCAGCUUGCUGUGCUGUGGCUUAGAACUUAGUCGGCAAGUCUGUCCUUGGCUACACCUAGUUCUCUUCCUCUCGUGUAUGGCCCUCAAGCACCGUCAAGAGAUCUAGGACCUGCAUUCAUAUAUCAUCAGCCCACUCCAGAGGAAACGUAAGGGCAAGUAUGCAUCUAACCUCAAGUUGACAUAUUUCUAUUUCUCCUGCAAUUUUGGGUCUUCCAAAAAAAUCAGAAAUUUGAGAUAUAUGAAUAUUAUUACAAACAUACAGGGCUUGCAUACAAUACAAGCCCAAGCCCCAUCUGGCAUCAUACGUCAAAUUUCAUACAUGCAUCUGUCAGACAAUAUAUAUCCUCACUAUUUUGUACCAUUAUCGCAUGCUAAUCUUUGAUGUUUGAUGGAAAA
rnacentral:precursor_RNA from 1 species